GAACGGUGAGGCUUCUUCACUUCGGGCCAGGAACAGGUGAAAACGAAGGCAGUCGAUGAGGACUCCGGUGAGGCUGAGCGAUCGUGAGGGUGGGCAGGCGUGAGCUCCGGCAACACUCGUGGGUUCAACCUCUGUCUCCGGCGAGAUCCUUCCCUGGUCCAUUGUUUGACAUCGGCGGUCCAAUCAAGGGAAUAGGAACGGACGAACGUAAACAGUCUAAGAGAUCGUCUGGUGGAUCAAAAUCGCGAGGAGAGGGAAGGAAGUUUCCGUCAGGAUUGGCGACCCUUCUUGGGUUUACAUCUGCAUCAUCGGCGGCAGUUGUGGUGGUCGCUGCCGUCUGCGGUGGCGAGGGAGGCUGCUCCGGCGGCUUCUCUUAGCUGCUCUCCUCCAUUCGUCGGCCGCUGAGCACGAAGGGGAAAGGUUCGAAUGGUCCAAUCGAUCGAACAAAGGCAGAUGUUCGGGGUUGCUGUUGGCUAGAUAAUCACAGGUAUUCCUUUUCUCUCCUUUUUGUUAUGACCGAAAAUCAGUGGAGUCUUGGUGGGUUUUGGGUUUGAUUCUUGACAGAGAAUGGAAGCAAGGAGAAGACAGGUGCAAUAGAAGAGGCAGCUGCCUCUUGUUCACUCACUCGAAAACAACCUCUCCUUGGGGUUGUUCUUCUUCUUGAUGGUGACAGCAAAAUUGAAUGUAAAGGAGGGUGUUUGGAGUUGGUUUAUCUCAUCAAAUGCAGGUGGAAAGAACCUAGAAUGGAUGGGGAAGCAACCUCGUAUGCCUCCCAGAGAAGAAAUGGAUAGAGGGGUUCAAGGUAGAGUGAAGAGGGACACGUGAUAUUAUGAAGAUAUGAACUGAUUUUUGGAAGAUUUUUCUGUACUUUGAAAUCCAGAAUUUGAUCUUGAGAGUGUAUUGCAUUAUUGGUUUAUAUUUGUGCAUGUGGGUGCAAAUCUGCUCAAUUUCUUUGUACUAGGUAUUGCUAUGAGAUUGAAUGUAUUUUUGGUUGUAUUUCUUUUUAUAUUCAUGUAUAUCUAUACUCAAGACUUAUAGAUACAUAUAUACUUGAUAAAUCUAGUGUAUGUGUAAUUGAAGUGUGCUUGUGCGUUUGAGGAAAUAAUCCAGAGGGAGGUAGAGAGUUAAAGAGAGAAGGGUAAUUUAAAUUUGAAGUUUGGCUGACUUUUAAAAGUCAAAGUCUU
rnacentral:lncRNA from 1 species